CACACACAUGCACACACAAAUCCCCUUUCCAACUUUCUGCCUUUUGCGCUUCCCUUCCAGUUUUUCACUUCUCAGACCUACUGGCAGCAUUUGCCGAGAUCUAGAUCCCCGCCGUGAUUUGAUUCAUAGAAAAAUGCAAGCGAUGCAUGCCACUGAUUUGGGUCAUCUGCACGCAAUUCUUAAGGAAAAGGUGAUUUUUUUCAUUGCCUGCCAAGUAAGUGGGAGAGGUGUAGGAAAAAGUGGAUUUAUGCAUAAAAUGCAAAACUCCAGAUGAAAGAACAGACCUCUUUUAUCAUCGUAGAAAGAAUCCAUCUGCAAUAAUUACCGGUCAGGCUAUCUGCACACUGUGUUACUUCAUGACAUCUGAGAACUGCUGCACUUCUUGAGCCAAUAGCUGCUAUAUAGCAACCAGCAUCACUCCUGAAUGAAAAAAUUGGCCCAACCACUGGUGAAUGGCACUCAGUAGGUUUCCCAUUGAACUGUGCUGUGAAACAAAGAUGCACAUUGGUAAAUCACUGUGUGUGCCUUUCAGUUCUUAUGCAUAUCCCGUACUGGACAGCUUCCAUUCACUCCGGCACCCACUGCAAACAAAUGUAACUAUGCAUCAGAGAUGAAAGUGAAAAUGCAUAUGUUAAAUCCCAAAUGGAAACAGAAGGGAGUAAUAUAUACAUAGUUGCUUAGCAACAAACAUGUUUUGGCCACAGGAACUGUGACAUCAGUCAGAGGAGGGAGAGGGAAGCUGCUCUGCCCUUCUUCUCUGUCUCUCUAAAAGCCUUGUAAAGGUCUUUCCUUUAUUUCAUUUAAAGCAAAAGAUGGAGGGAUGUUGUGGAUGUUUGUUUAUGCUAUUAAUGUGCUGGACUGUAGGACAAUUGGAGUUUUCUUUGUGGGGGGAAGCCUGUUUUUGUUCUGGGCAUCUGUUGCGAUAGUGUGUGCCCGCCCAUGCAGCCAGGCUCACAACACCUGCAUGGCUCACUGCGGAGUCCAUUUUAGCUGAAAUGCUCACAUAGGAUGAAUGAAGUGCUGAGGCCAAAAUUACCAACUGUAGGAAUUAAAACAAAUUUUUGGUGCCGCUCACUGUGUUUUAGACCCUGUCAUGCUUUUCACUUUCAGCUGUUAGCUUUUGAUUGUUAUUUCACAUUCAUCUAGAUCUACUUUUUUUUUCAUAAAAUAAAGCAAAGUUUAUUUCAGUAAAGCAUACAAUACUUAUGGCUAGUAGAUGGAUAUUGAUCAAUCCCACCCAUUUUACAAAUGGUCUGAAUACCUCUUCUCUCCUUUUCUGCUUUCUUCUCUUCCCAGCAUGCUCUGGCAUACGCCCUGGUGUGCCCUCUGCAAUGGGAGGCAAAGGAGAGAGCUGGUCAGCCCUGGCCCGUGGUGUACACCCCUCUGCAAGUUGCUCCUAUUGACACUGACAUGAGUUUUCUGUGUGGGUGACAUGAUGUCCUUCAUGCUUCUGGUAGUGUGCUCACUCCACUGGACCAUCAUUUCUUUCACAUAUAGAAAUAGUGCACAUUCAGUUUCAAAUAGAUCUGCCACCCUGAACUGCUGCAGACACAUUCCUGAAUACAUUAUUUUAGAGUGUUUCCUUUUAAUUUAAGGUAAUGAAUGUACUUUGGUGGAUCCCCAGUGGAGAGAAAAGAACGUUUCAGGCGUGCACUUCGCUUUGCAAAGAAGGCUUUCUUGACAGUGAGAGGCAUAUAGGAAUGCAAGACAUAUUGAAGAACUCAAAUGAAAUUAAAAUUGUGGAGGAAAGCAGGGUUAAAGAAGCAUUAUGGUAAAAUAAGACCUUUAUUUCCACUCAUGGAGCUAUUAUGUAGAUAGUGUUUUACUUGCUUUCAUUUUUCUGUGAAUUCAUACAGACCCUUUUUAUGUGCUAUCACGUAUCAAAUUGACAAGGUGUAGCUGAUAAUCUGUUGCACUUACUACCAGAUUAAUCUGAGGAAAGAAAAUGGGUCAUUCUGAAAAUAUAGAAGAACUUGAUACAAGGUAUGUUUGUGCCUCUGAGCGGACAAGGUAAAUGAGAUCAUCAGGGAAAUGUGCAUCAAAACACAAGAAAAGACAAAAAGGUUGUGAGAUGAAAGGAUGAAAAACAGGAAAAAGUAUGAUAUUGAUUCUUUCUGAAACAAAGAGCCAAGAAAAUGACCCAGGAGCUGGAAGGGCAUAGUUGCUGUUCUGAAUGAGGUGUCGUCAAGGAUUCUUGUCUUCAUUUUCUCUACAUGACUUAAAUUAGUUCUCCUAGAAAUAUUUUUCAGCCUGAAUGGGAGUACUGUGUAGCCUGACCCUACAGAAACCAAACAUCUGGAUCUGAAGUUCAUGGCUGACUCCUCAGAAAUACAAUACGUGAAACUGGGAUCCCAUAUCUGAGACUGGUUGACAGCUUGAGCGAUGAACAGAAAUUUGUUGGCUGAGGAUCAACCUAAGAAUAUUCACUAAUAUGCUACUGUGCUUUUUCCUCUGUAAACUCUUCUUUUUUAAUUUGUGAAACAAAUGACUAUAUCAGAUGAAAAGAUAAUUAAAUUAGCAACCAAAAUAGAUGUUUUAAAGGCCUGUCAAAUUGCCAGUAUUUUAAAUGUGAGUAAUCAAAAAUUUUAAUGGUAAUUGCUAUCAUUGAGUAAAACAAGAUUUUACAACUCACAUUAGUUACUGAACUCUAAUUUAUUUCCCAAUGUACACAGUUUAUACUGCUCAUUAAACAUAAGUUCAACCAUUUGUCCAGUGUUGGCUUUCUGAGAAGUGUAAGAGUUUUCCUAAUGAAAUUACCAUCUUUUCCU